rnacentral:rRNA from 1 species
ACAGUUGGAUCCUGGCUCAGGAUGAACGCUAGCUACAGGCUUAACACAUGCAAGUCGAGGGGAAACGACAUCGAAAGCUUGCUUUUGAUGGGCGUCGACCGGCGCACGGGUGAGUAACGCGUAUCCAACCUGCCCACCACUUGGGGAUAACCUUGCGAAAGUAAGACUAAUACCCAAUGACGUCUCUAGAAGACAUCUGAAGGAGAUUAAAGAUUUAUCGGUGAUGGAUGGGGAUGCGUCUGAUUAGCUUGUUGGCGGGGUAACGGCCCACCAAGGCGACGAUCAGUAGGGGUUCUGAGAGGAAGGUCCCCCACAUUGGAACUGAGACACGGUCCAAACUCCUACGGGAGGCAGCAGUGAGGAAUAUUGGUCAAUGGACGAGAGUCUGAACCAGCCAAGUAGCGUGCAGGAUGACGGCCCUAUGGGUUGUAAACUGCUUUUAUAAGGGAAUAAAGUGAGUCUCGUGAGACUUUUUGCAUGUACCUUAUGAAUAAGGACCGGCUAAUUCCGUGCCAGCAGCCGCGGUAAUACGGAAGGUCCGGGCGUUAUCCGGAUUUAUUGGGUUUAAAGGGAGCGUAGGCCGGAGAUUAAGCGUGUUGUGAAAUGUAGAUGCUCAACAUCUGCACUGCAGCGCGAACUGGUUUCCUUGAGUACGCACAAAGUGGGCGGAAUUCGUGGUGUAGCGGUGAAAUGCUUAGAUAUCACGAAGAACUCCGAUUGCGAAGGCAGCUCACUGGAGCGCAACUGACGCUGAAGCUCGAAAGUGCGGGUAUCGAACAGGAUUAGAUACCCUGGUAGUCCGCACGGUAAACGAUGGAUGCCCGCUGUUGGUCUGAAUAGGUCAGCGGCC